UUGUUUGCGCAUCGAAUCACAAAAGACCUCACCAUUUGAGGAGGGUGUCUUGUCCGACCUCUAGCAGCGCUCACCGCCCCUACACCACCAACGGUCGACUCGGCUGCAUGAGCAAGUAAGAUACACAGGACGACGAUCACGCCAAGGCGCACAGGCAUCGAACCCGGCCAGACUUCCUGCGCACUUCCAUCUGCUCAGCUUCCAAUCACCAACUCCUUUUUGUGGUGUUGCCCCUCCCCCUUCCCUCCCCGUCUGCUCUCGCGCUCACUCGCUUCACGAUGUGCCGGCCCCCGUCGCGGCGGGUGCGGCUCGCACCGCUUCCCUUGAUGCUGCUAAUCCUGCUCGCGUGUGUAUCAGUGCUGCCGCGCGCGUUCACGCUGUCCGCCGUCGACCCCGACGCGGGCGCCGAUGCUAACGGCAGGAGCAGUCCAGCUCCGGCGAGCGCGGUGGCAGGAGAACACGUGACGGUGUUCAUGUGCGCCGGCAGCAGCGACUUCUCCGGUGUGCACGAGCUCGGCGGUCUCAUGAAGGCCAUGGAGGAGACACAGGUGCUGUCGCUCAAGUACUGCCAGACGGCCCACCUGGGCUACAUCCGCCACGCCGACAGGCACGCGGUUCGAAGCCUCGUCGUCGCAACGGGCAUUAACUACAUCAGCUCCACGCUCUGCACGCGGAGCGUUUUGAAGCUGCGCCGCCAACGCGGCUACACCUACGACGCCAUGGUAUUCAUCGGCACCUCCGGCUUCUCACCGAUGGUGGGCGGCUGGGACCCGACCAACACGUCGUCGUAUGCCGCUUCGAAGGCGAGCGAGCAGGAGGCCAUGAUGAAGGGCGAGGCCGCCACCGCCGGCGUGGGCGCGGCGCCGCCCGCACUGCCGCUCAAGACGCUGCAACAGGUGCGCGAGGAGCAAGCGGAGGAGGCGCAACUUCGGCAGGCGGCUGUGGACGGCGGCCAGCUCUUCACGCUCCCCACUGCGUCGCAGCUCAACUUCGAGAACGCGCGCACCGGGGAGCAGGUGGACUGGGACGGUUGCUCGCCACGCGUGCCCAGCGCGAUCACUCCACUCUCUCUCGGAAGCGUGUGCGUGACGUCGACGGCGUACCUGAUGGAAACGGGAUGCUGCACGGAGCGCGUGCGUCACUCGCAGUGUAGCCGGCCGCACUGCACCAGCUUCCGUAGCGAGCUCGGGAGUGUGACGAAGGUGUUCUUCACCAGCGAUGCGCUCGCCAGGAAGAUCGAGGCGGCAUCGCAUCACAAGGCAUGGCCGGCGAUGCCGGAGAUCGUCAAGAAGGGCCAGAUGCGCUUCUGGGCCACCAACGAGGCGGUAGAGCCAGUCGGCGAAGGAGCGGAUCGCCACCGCGCCGCCCCGUCUGGUCCGUCGUUCGUCACCUGCGCCGAGGCCACCGGUAACACGAUCAACACCGGCGCCGAACGUGACUACCUUUGCCGGGAGCACACCACGCAAGCCCUCGACAUGGCGCAGUACCGUCUUGCAGAGCUGCAAGACGGCAAGGCAGCCCCGCAGGAGCCGCCUCUCACCACGCAGAAUGUGGCGUGUGUGCGGGCCAUGGAGUCCAUGGGCUUCUUGCAUUCUGUGGCGGAAGACAGCACUGCCCGUGACAUUCCUGUGGCUGUGGUGCGCGGCGCCGCGAACUACGACAUGUACCCCAUGAAGAAGGUGUACGUGCCGCCGGCGGUGUGGCGGUCGGCUCUCGUCGCGGGCCGACUGAAAGUGAGCCCGCGCGUGGCCGCUGCGCUGAAGGCGGAGGAGGCCGCCGCAGCGAACGGCGAAGGCGCCUUACGCGAGAGCGCUAUCGCCGCGUACACGUGGCACCAGAACGCGCACUUCAUGUCCGAGGCUGAGCACCAGGCCUUCGUCAACGCGUCCUUCCACUACGCCGUCGAGACGGCAACUUUCGUGCUCUCCAACUACUUCUUUGGCGGGCGCUGCUUCGCCUCGGCGAGCGGGGCACGUCCUGCGAGAUCAACAGAGUGAAUGGAGCGAGGGGCCGCGCAUGAGGUGACUGCCAGCCCAGCAGUUGAUGCUGGGGGCCGGCCGAUAGCAGCUGGCGCACCUCCGGCUGUCCUGCCCUGCUUCCCCCAACCCUUUAACCGCUGAGGUGCAGCCGCGCAUGUGCUCUCACCUCACCCUUUCUAAGUUCCUUAUGGCAGCUCCGUGCUGCCCUAACGCACACGCCUACAGGCGCUCAGUUCUGUGACGCUAAACUCCCUAAGCGGCAGCACG
rnacentral:misc_RNA from 1 species